GGUUGCGUAGUGUAAUGGUUAUCACAUCGGAUUCUGAUUUAUCACGAUCCUUCCGGUAAUCUGAGUUCGAUUCUCAGCGCGACCU